rnacentral:rRNA from 1 species
ACGUAGGGUGCAAGCGUUGUCCGGAAUUAUUGGGCGUAAAGAGCUCGUAGGCGGUCUGUCGCGUCGGCUGUGAAAUCCCGAGGCUCAACCUCGGGUCUGCAGUCGAUACGGGCAAACUGGAGUACUGCAGGGGAGACUGGAAUUCCUGGUGUAGCGGUGAAAUGCGCAGAUAUCAGGAGGAACACCGGUGGCGAAGGCGGGUCUCUGGGCAGUAACUGACGCUGAGGAGCGAAAGCGUGGGGAGCGAACAGGAUUAGAUACCCUGGUAGUCCACGCCGUAAACGUUGGGCGCUAGGUGUGGGGCUCAUUCCACGAGUUCCGUGCCGCAGCUAACGCAUUAAGCGCCCCGCCUGGGGAGUACGGCCGCAAGGCUA